rnacentral:rRNA from 1 species
AAUGAACGCUGGCGGCGUGCUUAACACAUGCAAGUCGGACGGUUUUGCCCGCAAGGGUAAAGCAGUGGCGCACGGGUGAGUAAGACCUAGGAACGUACCUCAGGGUGGGGGACAACCGCGGGAAACUGCGGCUAAUACCGCAUGAGAUCGCAAGAUCAAAGAGGGCCUCUAUUAAUAAGCUCUCGCCGUUAGAGCGGCCUAGGUCCCAUUAGCUAGUUGGCAGGGUAAAAGCCUACCAAGGCGACGAUGGGUAGCUGGUCUGAGAGGAUGAUCAGCCACACUGGAACUGAGACACGGUCCAGACUCCUACGGGAGGCAGCAGUGGGGAAUCUUGCACAAUGGGCGCAAGCCUGAUGCAGCAACGCCGCGUGGGUGAAGAAGGUCUUUGGAUUGUAAAGCCCUUUCGGCUGGGAAGAAGGGGCUUAGGGCUAAUAACUCUAGGCUUUGACGGUACCAGAAGAAGAAGCACCGGCUAAUUUCGUGCCAGCAGCCGCGGUAA